UAGGGAAUCUUCGGCAAUGGACGGAAGUCUGACCGAGCAACGCCGCGUGAGUGAAGAAGGUUUUCGGAUCGUAAAGCUCUGUUGUAAGAGAAGAACGAGUGUGAGAGUGGAAAGUUCACACUGUGACGGUAUCUUACCAGAAAGGGACGGCUAACUACGUGCCAGCAGCCGCGGUAAUACGUAGGUCCCGAGCGUUGUCCGGAUUUAUUGGGCGUAAAGCGAGCGCAGGCGGUUAGAUAAGUCUGAAGUUAAAGGCUGUGGCUUAACCAUAGUAGGCUUUGGAAACUGUUUAACUUGAGUGCAAGAGGGGAGAGUGGAAUUCCAUGUGUAGCGGUGAAAUGCGUAGAUAUAUGGAGGAACACCGGUGGCGAAAGCGGCUCUCUGGCUUGUAACUGACGCUGAGGCUCGAAAGCGUGGGGAGCAAACAGGAUUAGAUACCCUGGUAGUCCACGCUGUAAACGAUGAGUGCUAGGUGUUAGACCCCUUCCGGGGUUUAGUGCCGUAGCUAACGCAUUAAGCACUCCGCCUGGGGAGUACGACCGCAAGGUUG
rnacentral:rRNA from 1 species